rnacentral:misc_RNA from 1 species
GUACUCUCACACUUCCGAUCGUUUGGAUCGGGAGCGGUGGAUUUGGGUGUUGCCGCUUUACUGAGGCUCACCUUGAAUGCAGUAGUGCAACUCUUGGUUGGACAUAGUACGGCGUGAUAAGUAUCUUCGCCGGCACCUCACCAGAGGGUGGCCGAUCAGGAGCUCUGUGCUCCCAACUGUCCUUGGACAAUGACUGACA